UCUCAUUUCAUGAAUGGUGGCCAUGAAUCUUGAAGGUGGUGUCAAACUAGUUACUGUUUGCAGCUUUAUAGCUAACAGAAGAGACAAGGAAAAAUAUACCUUGGUUAAAAAAGUUUUUAAAAAAUAAUCCAUUCUGCAAUCAGGGUGGUGAGGACAAAUGGGUCAUGAUCUUCUUUUGACUAGGUUAGUGGUUUAUGUUGUGUCUUCCUGAACCGAUAUAUAGGUAUACACUCCUGCAAUUUGUCGAUAUUUUGGCUAAGAUUUAACUAUCCAGUUUAUAUAUAUCUUAUCAAGAGGAUUUUAGUUGACAAAUGAGAAAGCAAUGGUGAUCUUAUUCUAAUUGGGUAUAUUCUGUUCAUUGUUUAUU
rnacentral:lncRNA from 1 species